GUAGUCGUGGCCGAGUGGUUAAGGCGAUGGAGUAGAAAUCCAUUGGGUCCAUCCAAGCGCAGGUUCGAAUCCUGCCGAACUACG